UACGUAGGGAGCAAGCGUUGUCCGGAAUCAUUGGGCGUAAAGCGCGCGUAGGUGGCCCUGUAAGUCCGUUGUGAAAGUCAAAGGCUCAACCUUUGAAAGCCGAUGGAUACUGCAGGGCUAGAGUACGGAAGAGGCGAGUGGAAUUCCCAGUGUAGCGGUGAAAUGCGUAGAUAUUGGGAAGAACACCGGAGGCGAAGGCGGGUUGCUGGGCCGAUACUGACGCUGAGGAGCGAAGCGUGGGGAGCGAACAGG
rnacentral:rRNA from 1 species